GUGAGAUUAUGUGUGUGAGUGUUACUGCUUUCUCCUUUUCAGGUGUUAUGGAGAGCUGCCACCUGGAUGGAGGAACCUCUGUUUUGUACACACCUCUGUCCAGUACAGAUGUCGCUAAUGGAGUCUGUGUCAAAAUGAAUUCUUUACUGUCUGCAUGAGAUAAAUGAAAUGAUCAACUUUAGAACAAGAAUUUGCAACCUUCAGUAAUGUCUCCUAACCCAGAUGUGGAAUCUCACCCUAAUUCUUGCCCUCAUGAAAAGCCAGCACAUCCUAAUGGUCUUCCAUUGGCUGUUCCGGCAUGGAAUGACAGCCCAGCAAGAGCCCGUCUACUAGAUGAAACAACAGGAUGCUUUGAGGAGCUCAUUCACCAAUGCUUGUGAUGUAGUGGACAAUUUUCUGCAACUCUUAAGGUUAAAUGUCAUCUAUUUUAUUUGUGCUUCUAUAGAGACUCAAAGAAGGAUUUUCAAUGUGUGCCUUAAAAACAGUGUACAUCAAGAAGUGGGAUUGAACAACUCAGGGUAUGGGCAAUAGGAAUCGGAAACUUGUUCAAAUCAAAAUAGUUCAGUAAUGUCCGAAAUUCAUUACCACCAGUGGGCUGCUCAGUGGUCCAUAGAAACUGUAUUGGUUGACACAGUCUGAUUUUUAUUGGACAGAUAAUAACAAUAUGAACUUGUUGACAACGUCAUUCAACAGGCCGUUGAUCAAAUUAUCACAAAAGUUGUUACCCUUCCAUCUAGAUGUUUUCCUGAUGAGGCAUAUUUUUAUAGCCAGUCUGAAGAAGCUUGUAGUGUUCCCAUUUAUGUUCAUAUGGCUCCUGUCACCACAGAGUCAGACACUAAUGAAUUUAACAUGAGAGCAUCCUUGAGAGUUAGGGAACAAUUAGCUCCAUUUUACAGCUUGGGAGCUGAGGAAAGCAUACAAGAAGGAGGUGGCAGAGCUAUGAUUUGAAUCCAGAUAUCUAGAGUCUCAAACCAGUGCCUUAAACGUAGGACCAAGCUGUGGACAAAUAGUAAUUUGGCUUUCAGUGCUGUCAAGUUGGAGGCUUUCCUAAGGGUUAAGUACAUGUUCAAAGAUAUGAUUCCUCCAGUGCAAUUCAUGAUUGCUGUUUCCAAAUGCAGUAAAAAGCAAUGGACUAAAUUGUGGUUCUAAGGCACAGCCUAUACAAGGAGAUCCUGGAGCAUAUGGUGGUGUGGCUGCUGCAUUGAUAAGAGACACUAGAUGAUUGCUGAGCAGGAUCUGAUGUGCUGGUUGGUGCAAAGGAUCCACAUGUGCCUCUGUAUGAUCUAGCACUAAUUGACCAAUGGAGUGCAAGGACC